rnacentral:rRNA from 1 species
CGUAGCAAUACGUUAGUGGCGAAAGGGAUAGGAAUACAUAGAUUAUCUACCCUCAGGACGGGGAUAGCGGCGGGAAACUGCCGGUAAUACCCGAUAAUCUCUCCGGAGCAAAGGUGUGAUUCCGCCGGAGGAUGAGUCUAUGUCCUAUUAGUUAGUUGGUGAGGUAAUGGCUCACCAAGACAAAGAUGGGUACCGGGCGUGAGAGCGUGACCCGGAUCACUGGGACUGAGACACUGCCCAGACACCUACGGGUGGCUGCAGUCGAGAAUCUUCGGCAAUGGACGAAAGUCUGACCGAGCGACGCCGCGUGUGUGAUGAAGGCCUUCGGGUUGUAAAACACUGUAAGUUGGGAGGAAAUGGUAGGGGGCUAUCCUUCUAUCUUGACCUAUCUUCAGAGUAAGGACGGGCUAAGUUCGUGCCGGCAGCCGCGGUAAGACGAACUGUCCAAACGUUAUUCGGAAUCACUGGGCUUAAAGGGUGCGUAGGCGGUCCGUUAAGUGAGGUGUGAAAUCCCACGGCUCAACCGUGGAAUUGCGCUUCAAACUGGCGGACUCGAGGGGUGUAGGGGUAAGCGGAACUUGCGGUGGAGCGGUGAAAUGCACUGAUAUCGCAAGGAACACCGAUGGCGUAGGCAGCUUACUGGGCACUCUCUGACGCUGAGGCACGAAAGCCAGGGUAGCGAACGGAAUUAGAUACUCCGGUAGUCCUGGCUGUAAACGCUGAGCACUUGGUUCGGGGGGUACUCCAUAGCCUCCUGGUCGUAGAGAAAUUGGUAAGUGCUCGCCUGGGGGAGUAUGGUCGCAGGCUGAACUCAAGGAAUUGACGGGGCUCACACAGCGGGUGGGAGGAUGUGGCUCAAUU